AUUGAACGCUGGCGGCAGGCCUAACACAUGCAAGUCGAGCGGCAGCGGGGGAAAGCUUGCUUUCCCGCCGGCGAGCGGCGGACGGGUGAGUAAUGUCUGGGAAACUGCCUGAUGGAGGGGGAUAACUACUGGAAACGGUAGCUAAUACCGCAUAACGUCUUCGGACCAAAGUGGGGGACCUUCGGGCCUCAUGCCAUCAGAUGUGCCCAGAUGGGAUUAGCUAGUAGGUGGGGUAACGGCUCACCUAGGCGACGAUCCCUAGCUGGUCUGAGAGGAUGAGCAGACACACUGGAACUGAGACACGGUCCAGACUCCUACGGGAGGCAGCAGUGGGGAAUAUUGCACAAUGGGCGCAAGCCUGAUGCAGCCAUGCCGCGUGUAUGAAGAAGGCCUUCGGGUUGUAAAGUACUUUCAGCGGGGAGGAAGGUGUUGUGGUUAAUAACCGCAGCAAUUGACGUUACCCGCAGAAGAAGCACCGGCUAACUCCGUGCCAGCCGCCGCCGUAACAC
rnacentral:rRNA from 1 species